rnacentral:misc_RNA from 1 species
AACCUAGCACACCUGCGGUGUGUACCUGCGGAAGGAUCAUUAACAAGCUGUGGGAGAUCGAUCAAUUUGAUCUCACACCUGGCCAACCUUGUUAACCUUAAAUAUAUUGCUUUGGUGAGCCCUGCUCACCAAAGUCAAACCCUAAACUCUUGAUUGUUUCUGCUGUCUGAGCAUGCAAGUGCAAAAUUUAGUUAAAAACUUUCAGCAAUGGAUCU